rnacentral:rRNA from 1 species
GUGUCAGCCGCCGCGGUAAUACAGAGGUCCCGAGCGUUGUUCGGAUUCACUGGGCGUAAAGGGUGCGUAGGUGGUGAGGUGUGUCGGAUGUGAAAUCUCCAAGCUCAACUUGGAAAAUGCAUUGGAAACUACCUUGCUGGAGGGUUGGAGGGGGGACUGGAAUGCUUGGUGUAGCAGUGAAAUGCGUAGAUAUCAAGCGGAACACCAGUGGCGAAGGCGAGUCCCUGGACAACUCCUGACACUGAGGCACGAAAGCUAGGGGAGCAAACAGGAUUAGAUACCCCGGUAGUCC